rnacentral:rRNA from 1 species
AUUGAACGCUGGCGGCAGGCCUAACACAUGCAAGUCGAGCGAGCGGCGGACGGGUGAGUAAUGUCUGGGAAACUGCCUGAUGGAGGGGGAUAACUACUGGAAAAGGUAGCUAAUACCGCAAACCAUCAGAUGUGCCCAGUGGGGAUUAGCUAGUAGGUGGGGGAACGGCUCACCCAGGCGACGAUCCCUAGCUGGUCUGAGAGGAUGACCAGCCACACUGGAACGGAGACACGGUCCAGACUCCUACGUGAGGCAGCAGUGGGGAAUAUUGCACAAUGGGCGCAAUCCUGAUGCAGCCAUGCCGCGUGUGUGAAGAAGGCCUUCGGGUUGUAAAGCACUUUCAGCGGGGAGGCGUUACCCGCAGAAGAAGCACCGGCUAACUCCGUGCCAGCAGCCGCGGUAAUUC